AGCCCAUGAAAUGGGCAUAAUCUUAGUAUAUCCUUAAAACUCUCCAUAGCAUUAAAUAAUGAUUCCCACUCUUCCUGUCUAAAAUUUGAUAUCUCACUCCUAAGUU